AAAAAAAAAAAAAAAAAAAAGGCCUAAAGAGGUCUCUUUUAAAAAAUGAGGGGGAUUUUAUUAAAAUCACCGCCGGUGUCACAUUUUGACUCACUAUUUCUCCCUUUUAUUUACUUUAAAUAAUGAGCACAUGGGGCCUGCCCUGAAGUCCAUUGAACUCUAUUGAAGGAUUACUAUUGAUUCCAGAUUUGGACCUGGCCUGGUGGGAAUUUUGCAGUAAAAUACGGCAGAAUCUCUAUUCCGCAUAUUUGAGGGCAGCUGGACUAACACAGCAGUGCUCCCACGAGUUCCUCGGGAAGAUGCUUCCACCAACCAGUGCCAAUCACCGGCUGGAAAGCUCUCCUUACAUAUAGCUCAGACCUCUAAUUAAUUAAAAGCAAUGGGAUAAAAUAAUUUCACAUCUCCUAAGCAGCCCCUUCUUUCCCAGAGCGAUAUUCCCCUGGACCACCUUAAUGAAUUCCCUCCUCCCCUCGGUUUUAUACAUGUUUCAGAUAUUUAUACAAGAUGUAUGAACAUAAAAGGAUUAUUCAUAACAUUGUUGUUUCUGAAACAGGGGACUAAAGCUAAACAUAAUCUGGUUCAAUCCCCAGCUGAUGUAAAUCAUUCCAGCUCUCCUGGAAGUUGCUGGAUGUGCACCCAGUUCGGGAUGGCUUUCUGCAGGAAUGGGAGGAGGGGAACAAAACGGAGCCUCCCGUGGGUGAUGUCUGCUGGAAAUCCAUCGCAGCCGUCGGUCGGAGGGAUUGGCUGCCAGAGCUAAAGCCACCGCAGCAGAACAUCAGUGCAGACCUCAUUCC
ensembl:lncRNA